UACGUAGGGUGCGAGCGUUAAUCGGAAUUACUGGGCGUAAAGCGUGCGCAGGCGGCGCGUUAAGACAGGUGUGAAAGCCCCGAGCUUAACUUGGGAAUUGCGCUUGUGACUGGCGUGCUGGAGUGUGGCAGAGGGAGGUGGAAUUCCACGUGUAGCAGUGAAAUGCGUAGAGAUGUGGAGGAACACCGAUGGCGAAGGCAGCCUCCUGGGCCAGCACUGACGCUCAUGCACGAAAGCGUGGGGAGCGAUCCGG
rnacentral:rRNA from 1 species